rnacentral:rRNA from 1 species
GACGAACGCUGGCGGCGUGCUUAACACAUGCAAGUCGAACGGAAAGGCCCCCUUGUGGGGUACUCGAGUGGCGAACGGGUGAGUAACACGUGAGUAACCUACCCUUGACUUUGGGAUAACUUCAGGAAACUGGGGCUAAUACCGGAUAGGAGCUCCUGCUGCAAGGUGGGGGUUGGAAAGUUUCGGUGGUUGGGGCUGGACUCGGGGCUUAUCAGCUUGUUGGUGGGGUAGUGGCUCACCAAGGCAUUGACGGGUAGCCGGCCUGGGAGGGUGACCGGCCACAUUGGGCCUGAGAUACGGCCCAGACUCCUACGGGAGGCAGCAGUGGGGAAUAUUGCACAAUGGGCGGAAGCCUGAUGCAGCAGCGCCGCGUGCGGGAUGACGGCCUUCGGGUUGUAAACCGCUUUCGCCUGUGACGAAGCGUGAGUGACGGUAAUGGGUAAAGAAGCACCGGCUAACUACGUG